AUGUAUUAUUCGAUCGUGGAAAUUUCCAUGUUCGUAGAACAUGGCAAAUUGUACUAUUUUGUCAUGGCAAAUUAUACUAUUCUAUCAUGGCAAUUUUCAACCCGCAUUUUACCAUGGUUAUUUUCAGCCUGUAGGCCUAAAGAACAUGGCAACUUUCCUUUUUGUAGCAUGGUUAAUUUAUUUUUUAUUACCAUGGCAAAUUUCAUUUUGCAUUUGCUAUUGCAAUUUUUUCUUUUUCUUACCCAUGGGAAAUUUACCUUUACUGCCAUGGCAAAAUUACAUAUCUUGCCAUGUCAAUUUUUUAAUUUUUUUUAUUCUGCCAUGGCAAUAUUUCCUUUUGCUUUGUCAUGGCAAAUUUUGGAUUCAUUGACAUGGCAAUUUUCACCAUUUGUUUCCCACGACAAUAUUUUCAUUCAUUGA
rnacentral:rRNA from 1 species